rnacentral:rRNA from 1 species
CAGUAGCCGCGGUAAUACGUAGGGUGCAAGCGUUAAUCGGAAUUACUGGGCGUAAAGCGUGCGCAGGCGGUUUUGUAAGUCUGUCGUGAAAUCCCCGGGCUCAACCUGGGAAUGGCGAUGGAGACUGCAAGGCUAGAAUCUGGCAGAGGGGGGUAGAAUUCCACGUGUAGCAGUGAAAUGCGUAGAUAUGUGGAGGAACACCGAUGGCGAAGGCAGCCCCCUGGGCUAAGAUUGACGCUCAUGCACGAAAGCGUGGGGAGCAAACAGGAUUAGAUACCCCCGUAGUCCCUGUCUCUUAUAC